UACGAAGGGAGCUAGCGUUGUUCGGAAUCACUGGGCGUAAAGCGCACGUAGGCGGACGUGUCAGUCAGGGGUGAAAUCCCGGAGCUCAACUUCGGAACUGCCUUUGAUACAGCACGUCUUGAGUCCGGAAGAGGAGAGUGGAAUUCCUGGUGAUAGCGGUGAAAUGCGCAGAUAUCAGGAAGAACACCCGUGGCGGAAGGCGGCUCUCUGGGACGGUAACUGGACGCUGAAGACGCGAAAGCGUGGGGAGCAAACAGG
rnacentral:rRNA from 1 species